UAAAUUCAGAAACCUUUCCAGAGCUCCUGCAGCUCUUCAGGAAAGAACUCUUGAUCUUCCAUAUAUCUCUGAUUUCAGGCUGACCUCUGUUCCUGCCAAACAGACUCUUGCUCCUAGAGUGGUUAUCUCUAGAUGUAGAUGGCCAGCCAAAUGAGMCUGCUGUUGGAAUCACGCGCACAUUGAUCCGCGGGAUUGAGAGAAGACGAGCUGCACAAGUGCAGCACAUGGCAAGUUUCUUGAAGA